UAGUGGCUUGAAGUUAAAGCCUCAAAUUCCAACAAAAAUGUCAGUUUUCAAGGUGUGAGUCACCACCUCUUUCAGAAAAGUGCUGCUCAGUACUCUGAUCUCCCUGUGGAUGGCUUGACAGCAGCGGUGGCUUACUCUGGUUUCAUGCAACUGUCCAUGCAACAGGACUUAGCAGCAGCGUGAAUGGCAUUAGGAACAGGGAGUGAGGCAUAGAUGCUUUAUCCUCUUCUGUAGAGCUCCU